rnacentral:rRNA from 1 species
GAAAAGAGCGGGGGGGAGAGCGCGGUAAUAAGUAUGGGGGAAGGGGUGGUAGGAAUUAUUGGGCGUAAAGGGAAGGGAGGCGGGAUGUUAAGUCAGGUGUGAAAGCCAAGGGCUCAACGCUGGAACGGCAUCUGAGACUGGUGUUCGUGAGUUCGGAAGAGGAAGGCGGAAUUCCCGGUGUAGCGGUGAAAUGCGUAGAGAUCGGGAAGAACACCGGUGGCGAAGGCGGCCUUCUGGUCUAGGACUGACGCUGACAUGCGAAAGUGUGGGGAUCAAACGGGAUUAGAUACCCCUGUAGUC